GCGACCUUGUUUGUUGCAAAUAGUGCUCAUGUUAACCGGCGUGCGAGCAGGAUUAUCGCGUUGUUGUGUGCCGUUGCUGCUUGCGUUGCGCCGUGUUCUCACGUUCGCGCGUAGUUUUCUGCCGGUCGGUGGUUAGGCCAGACGUGUUUUUCGCGGCUGUUUAUCAUUUUAUUUUGAGUUUGUAAUUUAGUAAAUCGCGUUCUUAUAUUGUCCAUCAACUGCAUUUAGCUAUUACGGGCGUGUUUAGUGUUUUAUUACAAAAUCGUUAAUUUUUGUUGCCGUUCGGUGUGCGUAUUGCAAGAUGACCGCGUGCUAUCAACAUGUUUACACUGUACGUACACGAGAUACAUGUAGCAUGCAACGUCUUGCAACGUUUGUUGUGAUAUUAUUUGGACAAUGGAUUGGAACAAUGACAAUCUUCUUCGUGAAAGCCGAGAAAGAACGCAAUUACCUUCGAGUUCCGAUGCCCGAGUCCCGAGCUAAAUUAGAAUGCGAAUUUGAUUCGCCUCGCCGGUCGACUCCCGAUUAAAAAUAAAAUAAAUAUUGACACCCCUUCCCUUAACAAUGUAAUUUAUUUCACAGAUUUUAUCAUCUUCAACAAUACUCCUGAGUGUUGCAACGAGUAAAAUACUGGGAUUUUGCACCUGAGUCUGACAUCGUAGAAGGACCAUUCUUGCAUCAGAUUGGAUUUUGCACCUGAGUCUGACAUCGUAGAAGGACCAUUCUUGCAUCAGAUUAAAUUUCAUUAUCUUAAAUAACUUAUGUGAUUAUUACACAAAUUGACUCCCAAAA